UUAAGAAUCUUGCACAAUGGGCGCAAGCCUGAUGCAGCGAUGCCGCGUGAAUGAUGAAGGCUUUAGGGUUGUAAAGUUCAGUAAGCAGGGAAGAAUAAGCGCCGGGUAAUAUUCGGUGUGAUGACGGUACCUGCCUAAAGCCCCGGCGAACUACGUGCCAGCAGCCGCGGUAAUACGUAUGGGGCGAGCGUUGUUCGGAAUUAUUGGGCGUAAAGGGCGUCUAGGCGGGGAUUUAAGUUAGGUGUGAAAGCUAUGGGCUCACCCCAUAAACUGCAUCUAAAACGGGAUCUCUUGAGUUCGGAGAGGAGAGCGGAAUUCCAGGUGUAGCGGUGAAAUGCGUAGAUAUCUGGAAGAACACCAGUGGCGAAGGCGGCUCUCUGGCCUAGAACUGACGCUGAAGCGCGAAAGCGUGGGGAGCGAACA
rnacentral:rRNA from 1 species